rnacentral:rRNA from 1 species
UACGAAGGGGGCUAGCGUUGCUCGGAAUCACUGGGCGUAAAGCGCACGUAGGCGGAUUGUUAAGUCAGGGGUGAAAUCCUGGAGCUCAACUCCAGAACUGCCUUUGAUACUGGCGAUCUUGAGUCCGGGAGAGGUGAGUGGAACUGCGAGUGUAGAGGUGAAAUUCGUAGAUAUUCGCAAGAACACCAGUGGCGAAGGCGGC